rnacentral:misc_RNA from 1 species
GUAUUGAUUGCGUGUCAUCGCAAAAUGGGGUCAUUCUACACUUUUUAAAAGGGGUUUGUGUGAAAACGCAAGCCCCCUUCCUGGAUCGAAUCGAUCCCGAAGGGUGCCCACGCGGUGGUGCACAAGAGGGUGAGAUGGAUUUUAUGCGGGAGGACACGCUCUGGCGUGCACGACUUUAAAAAGUCAGCGACAGCCCUCGCAUGCCCUCACACAUUUUGUACGAUAAUGAUCCUUCCGCAGGUUCACCUACGGAAA